GUGCGGUUGGAACUCCCGUCGUCUCUUCGGAUCCAUCCUGUGUUCCAUGUCUCCCUGAUCAAACCCGUCGUUUCCAGCCCUCUGUGCCCGGUUCCGGCUCCGCCUCCUCCUGCUCAGCUCUACAAAGGGGGGCUGGUAUACAAGGUGCGGCGCAUCCUCGACUCUCGCCCCCGUGGUCGGGGUCUUCAAUAUUUGGUGGACUGGGAGGGGUACGGCCCGGAGGAACGCUCCUGGAUUCCCCGGUCCAACAUCGAGGACCCCUCUCUCAUCUCGGACUUCGAGGCCUCCAGAUCCGGUGAGGAGCAGGGGGAGCGGCAGCUGCAGGAGAUUUCCCAAUCAGGGACGCGGGUUCAAAAGGAGGAUGGAGACACAUCACUUUGCCGGAUGAUUGCACCAGUUUAGGUAGCACCAGCCACUCGACUCUGAACUUUGAUCUUGUUAAUUCGUGUUUUGACUCGCCUUCGACUAGUGGAUUUAUGACCUUGGAUUGUAUUUUGGAUUUGGAAUUGGAUUAUCCCUUACGCCUGUUUUUGUCUCGCUCAGGAUCAUCUCAUCAUCUACUCACCCUCGCUGUCUUCGUUUUCUGGAACAUACUCAUCACGUCCCAUCCUCCUCCGCCGUUCCUGUUUGGCUUUCCCUCUGCUACCUCACCCCUCCUGGAUCUCUCAUCCUCUGCCCAGCGUCCUCCCCGGCUUCCCCUCCUCUACUGAUUAACCUGAGCACCUCAGAGACUCGAGCCGUAUUGCUCAUCCCACAGGACUUCCCUGUGCGGUUUCAGUUCCCGUUUUUAUAAUAAAGACAUUUUACUUUA